rnacentral:rRNA from 1 species
UACGGGGGGGGCAAGCGUUGUUCGGAAUUACUGGGCGUAAAGGGCUCGUAGGUGGCCAACUAAGUCGGACGUGGAAUCCCUCAGCUUAACUGGGGAACUGCGUCCGAUACUGGAUGGCUCGAGUUUGGGAGAGGGAUGCGGAAUUCCAGGUGUAGCGGUGAAAUGCGUAGAUAUCUGGAGGAACACCGGUGGCGAAGGCGGCAUCCUGGACCAACACUGACACUGAGGAGCGAAAGCCAGGGGAGCAAACGGG